rnacentral:rRNA from 1 species
UGCAGUCGANNGAUGAAGCCCUUCGGGGUGGAUUAGUGGCGAACGGGUGAGUAACACGUGGGCAAUCUGCCCUGCACUCUGGGACAAGCCCUGGAAACGGGGUCUAAUACCGGAUAACACCUUCUCUCGCAUGGGAGGGGGUUGAAAGCUCCGGCGGUGCAGGAUGAGCCCGCGGCCUAUCAGCUUGUUGGUGAGGUAGAAGCUCACCAAGGCGACGACGGGUAGCCGGCCUGAGAGGGCGACCGGCCACACUGGGACUGAGACACGGCCCAGACUCCUACGGGAGGCAGCAGUGGGGAAUAUUGCACAAUGGGCGAAAGCCUGAUGCAGCGACGCCGCGUGAGGGAUGACGGCCUUCGGGUUGUAAACCUCUUUCAGCAGGGAAGAAGCGAAAGUGACGGUACCUGCAGAAGAAGCGCCGGCUAACUACGUGCCAGCAGCCGCGGUAAUACGUAGGGCGCAAGCGUUGUCCGGAAUUAUUGGGCGUAAAGAGCUCGUAGGCGGCUUGUCACGUCGGUUGUGAAAGCCCGGGGCUUAACCCCGGGUCUGCAGUCGAUACGGGCAGGCUAGAGUGUGGUAGGGGAGAUCGGAAUUCCUGGUGUAGCGGUGAAAUGCGCAGAUAUCAGGAGGAACACCGGUGGCGAAGGCGGAUCUCUGGGCCAUUACUGACGCUGAGGAGCGAAAGCGUGGGGAGCGAACAGGAUUAGAUACCCUGGUAGUCCACGCCGUAANCGGUGGGAACUAGGUGUUGGCGACAUUCCACGUCGUCGGUGCCGCAGCUAACGCAUUAAGUUCCCCGCCUGGGGAGUACGGCCGCAAGGCUAAANCUCAAAGGAAUUGACGGGGGCCCGCACAAGCAGCGGAGCAUGUGGCUUAAUUCGACGCAACGCGAAGAACCUUACCAAGGCUUGACAUAUACCGGAAAGCAUCANAANUGGUGCCCCCCUUNUGGUCGGNNNACAGGUGGUGCAUGGNUNUCGUCAGCUC